CAGCCAGACUGGAACUGAGACACGGUCCAGACUCCUACGGGAGGCAGCAGUGAGGAAUCUUCCACAAUGGGCGAAAGCCUGAUGGAGCAACGCCGCGUGCAGGAUGAAGGCCUUCGGGUUGUAAACUGCUUUUAUGAUUGAGGAAUUUGACAGUAGAUCAUGAAUAAGGAUCGGCUAACUACGUGCCAGCAGCCGCGGUCAUACGUAGGAUCCGAGCGUUAUCCGGAGUGACUGGGCGUAAAGAGUUGCGUAGGCGGUUUGUUAAGUGAAUAGUGAAAUCUGGUGGCUCAACCAUACAGGCUAUUAUUCAAACUGGCAAACUCGAGAGUGGUAGAGGUCACUGGAAUUUCUUGUGUAGGAGUGAAAUCCGUAGAUAUAAGAAGGAACACCGAUGGCGUAGGCAGGUGACUGGACCAUUUCUGACGCUAAGGCACGAAAGCGUGGGGAGCGAACCGGAUUAGAUACCCGGGUAGUCCACGCCGUAAACGAUGGAUACUGGCUGUUGGAGGUAUCGACCCCUUCAGUAGCGAAGCUAACGCGUUAAGUAUCCCGCCUGUGGAGUACGGUCGCAAGACUAAAACAUAAAGGAAUUGACGGGGACCCGCACAAGCGGUGGAUCGUGUUCUUUAAUUCGAUGCUAAACGAAGAACCUUACCAGGGCUUGACAUCCAGGGAAUUUUUGGGAAACCAAUUAGUGCCUUUUGGAACCCUGUGACAGGUGAUGCAUGGCCGUCGUCAGCUCGUGUCGUGAGAUGUUUGGUUAAGUCCAUCAACGAGCGCAACCCUUGCAACUAGUUGGAUUUUUCUAGUUGGACUGCUUCGGUAACGGAGAGGAAGGAGGGGAUGAUGUCAGGUCAGUAUUUCCCUUACGUCCUGGGCUAGAAACACGAUACAAUGGCUAGUACAAUGCGCAGCAAAGCCGCGAGGUGGAGCAAAUCGCAUCAAAGCUAGUCCCAGUUCGGAUUGGAGGCUGAAACUCGCCUCCAUGAAGUCGGAAUCGCUAGUAAUCGCAGAUCAGCAAGCUGCGGUGAAUACGUUCCCGGGUCUUGUACACACCGCCCGUCAAACCAUGAAAGUGACCAACACCCGAAGUCCGAUUCGUCGGCCUAAGGUGGGGGGCAUGAUUGGGGUUAAGUCGUAACAAGGUAUCCGUACCGGAAGGUGCGGAUG
rnacentral:rRNA from 1 species